rnacentral:rRNA from 1 species
CAGUCGCCACGGUAAUACGAAGGGUGCAAGCGUUAAUCGGAAUUACUGGGCGUAAAGCGUGCGUAGGCGGUGAGUUAAGUCUGCUGUGAAAUCCCCGGGCUCAACCUGGGAAUGGCAGUGGAUACUGGCUCGCUAGAGUGUGUCAGAGGAUGGUGGAAUUCCCGGUGUAGCGGUGAAAUGCGUAGAGAUCGGAAGGAACACCUGUGGCGAAAGCGGCUCACUGGACAAUUACUGACGCUGAUGCACGAAAGCUAGGGGAGCAAACAGGAUUAGAUACCCGUGUAGUCCCUGUCUCUUAUAC